AAUGCACCUUGCGCCCCUUGGCAUUCCGAGGGGUACACCCGUUUGAGUGUCGUGACAUCCUCAAACCUUCUCGGUUUCUUGACCGGAGAAGGGCUUGGACUUUGGAGGCAAUUAUGCUGGCUUUGUUCGAAGCCAGCUCCUCUUAAAUGGAUUAGUGGGGUCCCCUUUGCGGCUCCCUUGGCGUGAUAAGAUGCUUCUACGUCUUGGGACAGGCUCUUGUGACCUGCUUCUAACCGUCUCAUGAGAGACAUUCUGAUCGGGUUUGCCACCUUUCGCGGGGUGGGUAAGCUUGGCCCAGAAACCUUGACCUCAAAUCGGGUGAGACUACCCGCUGAACUUAA
rnacentral:rRNA from 1 species